UAUCAGAGGAGAAGGAGACCAGGACUAUCAGUGGACAGGGACAAGAUUCUCAGUGACAAAGGACUUAAGUCUGAUCAAGUCUGUCAAGCUUUGUUACAGCAUAAUGGCACGACGGUUCAUGCAGAAGAGUACAGCAUGCGAAGGAGAAUGUGGAGCCUCUGUCUGAGAUCACCAAUCUGCCGCUUUGUGAAGGAGCUGUGGUGGUGUGGUGGCUUUACAUUGGUCUCGGAGAAUGGGAGAGGUCCCUGAAGACUGGAGGACAGCCAGCGUCACAUCAACCUUCAGAAAGGGCAAGAAGGACAAUGUAAUGUUAGGCAUUUCCUGGUUUUGUCAUCACAGGUGGAAUACAGCAGUAGAACUCUCUAAAGCCUCGGAGCAGAAGUAAAAAUUCUACUUAAAAGCUCUUCUGACAGAAGUGUACUUGAGCCAACACGAAUUUACUGUUCAUUCUAGAAUGAUAACACUAGUGUUUGUUUUCCCCCACUCUAUGAUAAUAUUUGAAUAGAAAGUUUAAAAACAAAUGUCUCUUAUUUCAAAUAAAACAACUUUAUAGGCUCUUUAUGUAAGCAGCUCUUACUACUCAAAGAAGAUAGAAUGUAGUAAGAUCUGAUUGCAAUAGGAGAUGGUUUAAAUUAUUGCUACUAAUGUUUAAUGUAAAAUAAAAAACUUCUUAUGAUUUGAGCAGAAGAAAGCCAACAGUUUCUCAGCUAACGUUUUGGCAAUAAAUAUGUAUGAUGUCAAAGAAAUACAGAAAAAAAAGCCAACAGGUGUACAAACUGGAGGAAAUAAGAAAAAAAAAAGGAAGGAAGAACAGCACCUUCUGAAUGAAGGGAUGAAAUUCAUCCUUUUCUGUAAGUGGAUAACUCUUUCAUAAUGAUACCAAGAAGUCAAAAGUUGGGAUUUAUUCAUGAAUUACAGAGAUUGGAGGGGGAAAAAACAACAAAAAAAAACCAGAAAAGCAAACAAACAAAAGCCUAUCAGCCCACAGACUGGAAUAUGUCUUGGGGAAACAUUUAAAAUGAUUAGAAUUUGCAAGCAUUUGGGUCAGCUGUUACAUGGACUAAUCUGCCAACAAAGGCAGCACCACUGCUACCAGUGGGAAGCAAAGCUUGCUGUUUCUAACACAAACCAAGGUCUGUAUUUAAUGCAGUAAUGAGCUGCAAGCUGCGACCUCUGAAUAAUGAUUCCAGCUGUCCCUGCACGGGCCUCUAGAGCAAGGCUGGUUUUUUCCUUAACUGCUAAUCCUGCCAAUGGAGGACUCCCACACCACAGAUCCACCACAGCCUGCCCAGAGCUGAGGCACUGCCCCUUGCUGGGAGAGUUGUGCCCUCUCUUGCAGUCUGUUUGUACAGCUCCUGCCUCGCUGUCCUCCAGCCCUGAGGGACCUUAGACAUCUGUACAAACUGCAGCUCUUCCUGAAAUGGAACUUUUUGCCUUGCCAGUUUAUUCUAUCGGAACAGAGAAAAGAGAAGAAAAAAUGAUCAAAUAGGAACUCACAGAAUCACUGUGAUUGGAAGGGACCUCUGGGAAACAUCCAGCCCAACUGCGCACUACAGCAGGUUCCCUGCAGCGGGCUGCCCAACAAAGCAUCCGGGUAGGUUCUGAGUGUCCCCAGAGAGACAUUCGUGGGUUCGUGUGCUGUUUUAACUGAAAACUGGGCUUGCAAAAUGAAACAGACAUGUCUAUUUUCUCAUUUCCUGUGUCCAAGAGAUGUUUUGGAUAAAAGAGAACUUAAACCUAACAGUUUGCUUUAUUCUUAUAAGUGAUUAACUUUGAACAGAAAAGUAGAAAUUUUGAAGGUGAAAAAUAGUUGCUUUUAUGAACUAAAUGCUUUCAGAGGCACCGAUUUGUGUCAUGCUGCUGUAGUAAAUAUAAUGUUUGCGUGUUUUUCAUGCUUUUCAAAAUAUACUAAUAAAUGAAUCAUUA